UGAUGCAAUGCAUUGAAAUGUUAAGGAAAAGCCUAGGUAGUGUUUGAGGAAAAGUCUAAAAGAAAAAAAAUAAUUGAAAUGUUAAGGGUCAGAGAGGUAGUUUGCGAAAGCUGGAUGUGAUUUGAGUUAAUGCCUGAACAUAUAUUUCUUUUUUCUUUUUUUUUUAGAGUUGGUUUCAGAUGUAUCUUAAUCAUUGUUCAUUUAUGAAAAAUUGGGCAUGGUUUGCUGACUCCCUUUUUCCUAAAAAUUUCUGGUGGUGCAUAGAUCUUUUUGCUAAGGUUAGGUUGAUGAUCUAGUGGUGACAGAUUUUCUGGUGUAGCUUGGAACAAUUCAGACUUUUGGGUUUGUUUGAUAUUGGGGGUCUUGUUUAUUCAUUGGUGAAAAGAUGAGGGGAGCUGUGAUGGUGGCCAUUGCUGCUACAAUUGGUAGCAUUCUACAAGGAUGGGAUAAUGCUACAAUCACAGGCUGAUUUUAGUAAACGAAUUGAAGAAACAUAGAAGAUUUGGAGCUGGGGUGUCAUGGGUUGAUGUGCUUGGGAUGGGAUAGUAACUUAGCAAAGAGGGGUAUGAAGAGAGGCACAGACCAUGCGAGGAGCACUUGAGGAGCAAACGGUGCAAAAUGAAGAAUAGAGGAAGAAAAAUGAGCAACCUGAAAUGGAGAUGUUGAGACUUGGUGAGGAGCAAAUAUACUGGACUAUUUCAUCCAAAAUUCUUUUAUUUAUUUAUUAUUAUUAUAAAUUAUUAAAUA